rnacentral:lncRNA from 1 species
GGAAAAGAAAUAGAAAAUUAAAAUAUAACUGUCCUGCUUUUUAAAAAUGAUUUUAUUUUAUUUUAUUUCGUUAUUGUGAUAAAAUACCCUAACAAAAGCAAUUUAGGGGGAAAAGUGCUGGUUUACAAUCCCAGGUUACAGACUGAUCUAGCAGGGAAGUCCUGGCGGCAGGAACUCAGACAGCCAGUCCCAUCACAUCCACAGGAAGAAAGAGAAGUGAAUGCCCGUGCAAAGCCCCACCCACGCCCCACCCCUCUUUCAUUCACUCUAGGCUCAGCCCAAGGAUGCUGGUGCCACCUCAGUUAGCCUAAUUCAGAAUAUCACUCAGACAUGUCUAAACAGAUCCUCAUUGAGACAUUCUUUCUAGGCGUCUAGAUUGUAUCUGACAGUUUAAAUUUACUGUUACGGUAGCUUAGGGCAAGUCACUGCUUAUACCACAGCAAAAUUUCUUUGUGGGUUUUCCAACUAAGUAUUUACAAAAUCAUUGAUUUGUUGAAGUGCUUUAAAAAUAACUUGAAUAAUUUAAGUAGAAUUAAAUAGAGUUAGAUUGACAGGAAGAAAUAGCUCAUUAUACCAUUACAUUUAAAUAUUGGUGUUAAAGGUGAGGGGUAUGAGGUCUCUCCCUGUGCCAGGUUUAAGGAAAAAUAGUGGUUAUUGCCAAUGAUACCUUGAGACUUGACAUGAAGCCCUCACUUUUCACAAGUUUCUUGGUAAAUAUUAAAAUUGGUAGAUUUAGUUUUCAUUAUGUAGAUUUAGUGAUUAAUGUUGUUAGGACCAAACAAAUAAAUGUAAAAUGGGUAAUUUUUUUUAGUGGCAAGGAAACAAGAUUUAUAAAUAUGUUUGUAAGCCAAAUUUAAUGAGAGACAAAGAAUCAUUAAUAAAAGCUAUUUGAGAAAAAUAAAUAAAUAUUGGUGUUAAAAUUAAGGUAUUACUUAGGUUGAGGCAUAUAUUAUCAUAGCAUCCCUAAUAUCCAUUACUUGGCUUUUAAUCAUUGGUAGGGAGUCAGGAAAUAUUUGUCUAAGAAUACUGAAUGAAAAAUAUUUUUAUUUAGCUUUAAAAAAUGUUAUUAGUAGUAUGUGUGCAUGAUGCAUAUAUAUGUGCAUGUUUAUUAUAUGUGUGAUACAUGUGUGUUUGUAUGUAUAUUAUGCUUGUGUAUGUAUGAUUGUGUGUGUGUAUGUGUGUGAGUGUAUGUGUUUUUGUGUGUAUGUGUGUGCAUGUAGUGCUGUGCCUAUGGAGGUCAGUGGUCAACUUUAAGGGGUAGAUUCUUGCUUCCCAACUUUACAGGAGUUCUGGGGUUUGUUGUUUCACCCACUGAGCCAUAUCACCAGUCCUAUUUUAGCUGUUCAUCAUCUAGGAAAUUAAAGCUUAAAGGCUUUACAUUAGGCUAUCAUGAUGUCUCACGAGUAGGUUUCACUUACAUACAGCUGUGUAAGAGAGAGGGACAUGCAGUAUAAAACCAUAGAGACAUUUUGCUUAGGAGUAUAAUGAUAGAAAUAAAAUUCUAAAAAUAGCUUUAAAUCGUGCCUUAAAUUUAAGUUAUUAGAAGAAUAUUAUCUGAACUUGAAAACAUUUUUUUGUCUCCUCAUUAACUCUGGUACUUGUUAUGGGUACUGCCUUACUUUCAAAGACUACCCAUGCUUAGUGUGCAUCUUC